rnacentral:rRNA from 1 species
AUUGAACGCUGGCGGCAUGCCUUACACAUGCAAGUCGAACGGUAACAGGUUAAGCUGACGAGUGGCGAACGGGUGAGUAAUGUAUCGGAACGUGCCCAGUCGUGGGGGAUAACUGCUCGAAAGAGCAGCUAAUACCGCAUACGACCUGAGGGUGAAAGCGGGGAUCCCAAAACCCCCCGCGAAUGGAACCGCCGAUAUCAGAUUAGGUAGUUGGUGAGGUAAAGGCUCACCAAGCCGACGAUCUGUAGCUGGUCUGAGAGGACGACCAGCCACACUGGGACUGAGACACGGCCCAGACUCCUACGGGAGGCAGCAGUGGGGAAUUUUGGACAAUGGGCGCAAGCCUGAUCCAGCCAUGCCGCGUGCGGGAAGAAGGCCUUCGGGUUGUAAACCGCUUUUGUCAGGGAAGAAAAGGUUCUGGCUAAUACCUGGGACUCAUGACGGUACCUGAAGAAUAAGCACCGGCUAACUACGUG